rnacentral:rRNA from 1 species
AUUGAACGCUGGCGGCAGGCCUAACACAUGCAAGUCGAGCGGACGUAGCAAUACGUUAGCGGCGGACGGGUGAGGAAUGCAUCGGAACGUGCCGUGUAGUGGGGGAUGACGCAGGGAAACUUGCGCUAAUACCGCAUACACCCUGAGGGGGAAAGGGGGGGACCGCAAGGCCUCACGCUAUAUGAGCGGCCGAUGCCGCAUUAGCUAGUUGGUGAAGUAACGGCUCACCAAGGCGACGAUCGGUAGCUGGUCUGAGAGGAUGAUCAGCCACACUGGAACUGAGACACGGUCCAGACUCCUACGGGAGGCAGCAGUGGGGAAUAUUGGACAAUGGGGGCAACCCUGAUCCAGCCAUGCCGCGUGAGUGAAGAAGGCCUUCGGGUUGUAAAGCUCUUUAAGCGGGGAGGAAGGUCGUGCAGUUAAUACCUGCGCGAAUUGACGUUACCUGCAGAAUAAGCACCGGCUAACUCUGUGCCAGCCGCCGCGGUAACAC